CGGGCGCGGCGCCGGUCUAAGUCCCUUGGAACGGGGCGUCGCAGAGGGUGAGAAUCCCGUACGUGACCGGCGACCAAGCCCGGGUGAAACCCCUUCGACGAGUCGAGUUGUUUGGGAAUGCAGCUCAAAAUGGGUGGUAAAUUUCAUCUAAAGCUAAAUACCGGCCAGAGACCGAUAGCGCACAAGUAGAGUGAUCGAAAGAUUAAAAGCACUUUGGAAAGAGAGUCAAACAGUACGUGAAAUUGUUGAAAGGGAAGCGCUUGCAACCAGACCUGCCCGCGGGCGAUCAGCCGUCCCUCGGGGCGGUGCAUGCGCCCGCGACCAGGCCAGCAUCGGUUCGGGCGGCCGGACAAAGGCCCCGGGAACGUAGCUCCUCUCGGGGAGUGUUAUAGCCCGGGGCGCCAUGCGGCCCGCCUGGACCGAGGACCGCGCUUCGGCUAGGAUGCUGGCGUAAUGGUUGUAAGCGGCCCGUCUUGAAACACGGACCAAGGAGUCUAACAUCUAUGCGAGUGUUUGGGCGUCAAACCCAUGCGCGCAAUGAAAGUGAACGGAGGUGGGAACCCGGGGCGCACCAUCGACCGAUCCUGAUGUCCUCGGAUGGAUUUGAGUACGAGCAUAGCUGUUGGGACCCGAAAGAUGGUGAACUAUGCCUGAAUAGGGUGAAGCCAGAGGAAACUCUGGUGGAGGCUCGCAGCGGUUCUGACGUGCAAAUCG
rnacentral:rRNA from 1 species